UCCGGCUUAACGCCGGCAGUCCCCCUAGAGUGCCCAACUGAAUGGUGGCAACUAAGGGCAAGGGUUGCGCUCGUUGCGGGACUUAACCCAACACCUCACGGCACGAGCUGACGACAGCCAUGCAGCACCUGAACCGGCAGUCCCCGAAAGGAAGAUCCUAUUUCUAGGACGGUCCGCCGUUGUCUAGCCCAGGUAAGGUGGGGAUGACGUCCCACAGACUAUAC
rnacentral:misc_RNA from 1 species